rnacentral:rRNA from 1 species
GAUGGUGUGCCUGCCAUUCUCUACUUAUAGUCGUCGGAUCUUCAUCGAACGCACAGGAAGCGAUCUGUGGCAAUUUUGCAAAAAACCGCCCGUCACUCCAUCAACAUUUGCAGACAACCCCUCCAGCCUCAUCUCUCCCACUCAGCCUCAUUACUCCCCCCGACUCAUCCAGCCAUCUGAAAAGGGGCGCCGUGCAACCACCGGCCGACAGCAUCGGAGUCCAUCUGGCGCGGUGGCCGCUGCCGGCGAUGUCCACCGCCACCACGACCCCAGCCCAUCUGUCCCGUUCUACUCUCUCUUCCCCACCUUAUCCAGCCAUCUCCAAAGAAAAGGAAAAUGGCGGCACCGUGAGAACCACCGCCGGCAGAGGUGGAAUCGAUCUAGCGAUGUGGCCGCUGCCUGCGCCGUACAAUCCCAGCCUCUCUUAUGCCUUAUCUCAGCCCCACCGCCCACCGCCACCACGAUCCCAUCCUCGUCGCCGUCUGCUCCGCCCGCUCCCUUGUCUCCUCCGACCCUGACCGACGCAGGUCCGCCGCCGAUGCUUCUUCUGCCUCUUUUUCUGCCGCAGAGUUCCCACCAACCACCAACCACUAUCGCCACCACCUCCCCCUCGUUGAUGUCUCGUCCGCCCCUUCCCCUUAUCCUGCAACGCAGACUGCCAUAGGUACGCCGGCAGAACUGUCUAGAAAGUAGAAACACUCUUCCAGGCCAAUAUAUAUCAAAUUUUCUGUCAUCCAGAGUUCAAAUCCGUGCGCCAAUGUGGAGCUGUCUAGAAACUACUCUUGCAGACAAAUAUAAAGCAAAUGGGCAGGCCUAUGGGACUCACGCUGCUGCACCCAGAGGAGCCAGAAGCUGGUCACGCCAAUCUUCAGAUUGAAUGGAUUGUGAGGACUUCGCCUUCUGGUCCAAAAGAUACUAACAGAAAUUAAAAGUCGUCAGGAAAAACCCUUGGAUUUUGGUGUGAGACUGAAGAACCACAAGGUGACAAGAUGGAUGGAGCCCGAGCUCGAAGGCCAACAUUGUUAGCAGAGAUGUUUUGGGCAAACAACUAAAAGAAGGGUAUACUAUGCUUGACACACAUGAUUCCGUGGCCUGAUAGAUGCCUAAGGUAUGUAACUAAGUAAUUGGAACUAACUGUAUGAGUCAUGCCUAAGGUAUGCUUGACACACAUGCCUAAGGUAUGCUUGACACACAUGAUUUCAUGGUCUGAUAGACUUGGGCUUCCACUGUACGACACAAGUGGAGAUGACUCUGUUUUUUGACCAUGAUCUUGAGAGGUACAACUUUAUCUAUGUAUCCAUAUCUAUACUUUCUCUCUAGAUGUCAUAAGCAUGGUUCCCCACAUCCAACAUAUGUUUCAGAAUCAUUUUUUACUACCCGCCAAAAAAGGAAUCAUCGUUUACUUUAUUAAUUCCUACCAUUUGUCUUCACAUUUAAGUCUUGUUUGCCUAAUAUACUGCGAAAUCAGCAUUGUUGAAUCCUUGGAUAAAGGUAACAAUAUAUAUUGUUUUAUUUUCUACAGUUGUUCCAAGGAAAACAACAGUUCUGUUGCAAUAGUUCUUUUAAGGUUGUACAUGAUAGUAUGUACCCGGAGAACGCAGGCCGUGCCGGUGAUUUGGGAGAUUUGGCGUGAGCGCAAUUGCCGCAUUUUUCACAAUUUGGAUUCGUCGGCUGCUAUGCUUACAUGCCUUGUCGUUGACGAAGCCAAUGUUGGAAGGAGGCCGACACACCACACAUCAUUUUGUGAUAGUAAUCUAGCUUAGUGGCCCCUCUCAAUUCUGUGUUUUCUCAUUUGCUUUACAUGUGUUUGUACAUUACUCGCUCCUAUCAAUGAAAUCAAUAGCUCUGCUAUUAGGCUUAAGAAAAAACUGUCUUGGAGCUCAGUUGUUGCCUCUGUCAGAUAUUUGCACUGUAUGAACAAACUGCUAUGUGGACAGAUUUUCUAUUUGUCAUAUGCUCUUUGUCCCCUUAAUAUGGGAGAGCCAUGAGAAAAUUGGGUAGGAAGAACCAAAGUCUUCUGCAAGGUGAAAAUUGAGGGGGGUUUAUGUUGGAAACCUUAUGUUUCAUUUUGCUCGAUGUACCUGUCAACAAUAUGGCAUCAUCACUUUGAUCAAUGUUUUGGUACAUCUUUUAUUGUUUACUAGACUCGUGACACUGAG